rnacentral:ncRNA from 1 species
GAGAAGUUUUAUUCUUGCUUUUUCGUUCAGUUUUUGUUUGUUCUAUAUGUAAGUGUAUGCAUUAGUUUACUUAAUUUUCUAGAUGGAAAUAGGGUAGGAUUUAUAUCUCAUUAGUUAUUAUUGGUUGAUCAAGUGUCCUUGUAUCCAGCAAUAUAUUUAGUUUCGGUUAAAUUUUGUGCCAGCAGCCGCGGUUAUACCUUGGAAGCAUUUGAACGGGUUUGGUGUAAAGGUAGUUAAAUUGUUUAUUUAGUUGAUUAUAUUUAAGCGGUUUAAUUAGGUGAAAUUUUUAUUGUUUUUUUAUCUUGAAUUAUGUUUGGAGACUACGAAAUUUUAUUUUUAAACUAGGAUUAGAUACCCUAUUAUUUUGGAAUGUUAAUAUUUGUACCUGAGUAGUAUUAGUUAUGUUCUUGAAACUUAAAGAAUUUGGCGGUAUCUCAUUCUGGCUAGAGGAAUCUGUCCCGUUAUCGAUAGUCCACGUUGGACCUUACUUAUAUUUAUUUGGUUUGUAUACCGCCGUUUAUUGAUUAUCUUUUUAGAGGUUUAUAGGUUAAUUUUCUGGUUUCUUUAUUUUGGAUAUAUUUCAGGUCAAGGUGCAGCUUAUUUUUAAGUGGAGAUGGAUUACAUUGUUAUUUGUUUUUGGAUUGUUGAUUUUAAUAUUGGCAUGAAAUUGGAUUUAGUUGUAAUGAUUUAUAGAUUGUUAUUAUGAUAAUUGGUUCUGGGAUAUGCACACAUCGCCCGUCGCUCUCGUUUGGUAUAUUAUGAUGAGAUAAGUCGUAACAAAGUGGUUGUACCGGAAGGUGCAGCUGGAUUGAU